rnacentral:rRNA from 1 species
AACCCUCGCUGUGUGUUACAAGUGUCACACGGAACUGCCGGUCAUAAACCGGAGGAAGGUGGGGAUGACGUCAAGUCAGCAUGGCCUUUAUAUCCUGGGCUACACACACGCUACAAUGGGAAGGGACAAUAGGUUGCGAAGCCGCGAGGCGGAGCCAAUCCAGCAAAACUUCCCUCAGUUCAGAUUGCAGGCUGCAACUCGCCUGCAUGAAGUUGGAGUUGCUAGUAAACGCAGGUCAGCCAUACUGCGUUGAAUACGUUCCCGGGGCUU